CACCUAGGGCUCCGCCCAUCGCCGAGAAUAAGCCAAUCUCUUUGAGGCUUGUACAGCAGAACGCCGUGCGUUUUAGCUUGAACUUGAUAAGCCUGGCAGAAGCCUGAUGAACCCAGAAUAAGUGAGAUGUGGUCUGUUUUAGACUCUACCGAGGGAAAUUAUCUGUGAGGUGAUCCUGAAGGAGGGUACAUGGUCCCACCCACAAUGAGUUCCCUACUGGGGCCCUGCAAAGGAUAUUAACAGUGAAGAUACAAGAGACAGAGUCUUGUUCUGUUGCGCAUUCUGGCGUACAGUACCACAAUCACAGCUCACCACAGCUUCCAACUUCUGGACUCACGUGAUCCUUCUGCCUCAGACUUCCAAGUACCUGGGACUACAGGCACGAAUCACCACAGCCAGCUUGGAGUGACUUUCUAAGGGUCCCUGAACCUUGGCCCAUCCUCAGUCUGAGUCAGCAUGUAACCCCUCUUCAACAGCAGCUCUGGAGAGAAGGCUGGCUUCAGGGUAAAACAUUCUUUAAUUCCAUUCUCUUAUCCCACUUGCCCACAUCUAAAUCUUUCUAAUCUAGUUUACUCGUCUCUAUAAAAGAAAAACUCAUUUCACCUAACUCUUGAGAAGCUUGCAGGUAUUAUGGUCAAAGAGUUCCUAUUAUUGCAAUAGCUCCCCUUCUCCUAUUGAAAGAGACCCUUUUCCUCUUAUAACUUCCAACAAAGUCUCUCCUUACUAAGUCUGAGUUUGCUUUUUAUUUGACAGGACCCACUGAUUACCUUUUAUUAAAAUUUUUUUCUUUCCUAUUCUCAAAUAAGAAAAAAUUAUUUUGCCAUAUCUGGCCCUCACCCAAUUUAGGUUUUUAAAAAACUUUUUGGAGGUAUAACUUACAUACAUACAAAUGUAUGUAUAACUUGCAUAUAUUUAAGAGGUAAAAUUUGGUGAUAUUUGACAGAUGUAUAACCCUCUUGAAACUUGUAUUACACAAUGUAUGGAACAUUUCUGUCAUCUCUGUUUUCUUGAGCCACUUUGCAUAUAACCUCCCUUCUGCCCUUGGCUCUUUGCAACCACUGAUCUGUUCUCUGUCAGUAUAUGCUAGUUUGCAUUUUCUAGAACUUUUUAUGUGUGGAAUUAUAUGGUGUGUCUGGCUUCUUUCACCAGCAUAACGAUUUUGAGAUUCAACAAUAUUGUUGCAGUUAUUAGUAUUUAAUUCCUCUUUUGUUAUCGGGUAUUAUUCCAUUUGUAUAGAUAUACCAUAUUCUUUAUCCACUGACCUAUUGAUGAAUAUUUCUUAUUUUUCCCCCAGUUUUAAGGUUGCUAUAAGCUGAACGUUUGUGUCUUCUCAAAAUUCAUAUGUUGAAAACUAAUAAUCCUUAAUGUGACGGUGUUUGGAGGUGGGGCCUUUGGAGAUGAUAGGUCACAUGGUUGUUGGGAGGUGGGGCCUUUGGAGAUGAUAGGUCAUAUGGUGGGAGGCCUCUUGAAUAGGAUUACUGUCCUUAUAAAAAAGGCCUCAGAGAGUUCCUCUGCCUCUUCUGCUGUAUGAAGAAACAAUGAGAAGAUGGCCAUCUGUCUAUGAACCAGGAAGUGGGACCUCACCAAAAACUGAAUCUGCCUGUGGCUUAAUCUUGGACUUCCCAUCCUCCAGAACUGUGAGGAAUAAAUUUCUGUUGUUUAUAAGCCAUGCAGUAUAUGGUAUUUUUGUUAUAGCAGCCCCCACUGAGAAGGAUAUUGCAAAUAAAAUUACUAUGAACAUUUAA